UUCUAGGUGGCGCCCCAACAGCUCAUCGAAAUGCACGCAGCGCGAAUUCGAAUCCACAGCGAGAUUUGAGCGCGGGAAGCUGUUAUGUGCCAGUAUGCUGGGGUAGGCUUGACAACUCAAAAUUUUCUAUUUGUACUUACGAAGCAGCAGUAUUUGACAGAAAAGAAUAAUACUUUGAUGCUCUUCUCACGCCUACAAGCGAGGGCGGCGUGAUUAACAACACAGCGUAAUGCGCAACGGUGAACGCCAACGAACUGCGUGCCGCCACCAACCUGGACGAAGCAUUUUGGAUUAUGAAUGGAUACCUGAACACUGCUUGAAGGAGCAAGCUCUACAGCAUCACUUAUGCUCCUUUCCAUGGGUUGGCAAGAGGAACCGUGGCACGCAACUCUACAGGCACCUGUGCUCUUCACUACCUUCGGAGGAGAGAUGCAUUGAAUGCUCCCUAUCAUGCACUGCCAUCUCAACAGUACCAUGGCUUUUUGUGUGGAUUCCUUCCCUUUUGAAGGCCACCACUGUUUGCACAGCAUCACAGCCUGCCUGCCUUGAUCUUGCGGAAGAAGAAAAUACAAAAUGCCUAUUUUUUGAAAUGCAUGCAUGGCUCCAUGCAACACCACCUGUCGUCGGGGUGUUAAGG